GAUGAACGCUGGCGGCGUGCCUAAUACAUGCAAGUCGAGCGAACGGACGAGAAGCUUGCUUCUCUGAUGUUAGCGGCGGACGGGUGAGUAACACGUGGAUAACCUACCUAUAAGACUGGGAUAACUUCGGGAAACCGGAGCUAAUACCGGAUAAUAUUUUGAACCGCAUGGUUCAAAAGUGAAAGACGGUCUUGCUGUCACUUAUAGAUGGAUCCGCGCUGCAUUAGCUAGUUGUUAAGGUAACGGCUUACCAAGGCAACGAUGCAUAACCGACCUGAGAGGGGGAUCGGCCACAUUGGAACUGAGACACGGUCCAGACUCCUACGGUAGGCAGCAGAAGGGAAUCUUCCGCAAUGGGCGAAAGCCUGACGGAGCAACGCCGCGUGAGUGAUGAAGGUCUUCGGAUCGUAAAACUCUGUUAUUAGGGAAGAACAUAUGUGUAAGUAACUGUGCACAUCUUGACGGUACCUAAUCAGAAAGCCACGGCUAACUACGUG
rnacentral:rRNA from 1 species